rnacentral:rRNA from 1 species
UGGGGAAUAUUGCACAAUGGGCGCAAGCCUGAUGCAGCCAUGCCGCGUGUGUGAAGAAGGCCUUCGGGUUGUAAAGCACUUUCAGCGAGGAGGAAGGUGGUGAGCUUAAUACGCUCAUCAAUUGACGUUACUCGCAGAAGAAGCACCGGCUAACUCCGUGCCAGCAGCCGCGGUAAUACGGAGGGUGCAAGCGUUAAUCGGAAUUACUGGGCGUAAAGCGCACGCAGGCGGUUUGUUAAGUCAGNUGUGAAAUCCCCGGGCUCAACCUGGGAACUGCAUUUGAAACUGGCAAGCUAGAGUCUCGUAGAGGGGGGUAGAAUUCCAGGUGUAGCGGUGAAAUGCGUAGAGAUCUGGAGGAAUACCGGUGGCGAAGGCGGCCCCCUGGACGAAGACUGACGCUCAGGUGCGAAAGCGUGGGGCAGCAAACAGGAUUAGAUACCCUGGUAGUCCAGCGCUGUAAAACGAUGUCGAUUUGGAGGUUGUGCCCUUGAGGCGUGGCUUCCGGAGCUAACGCGUUAAAGUCGACCG